GACGAACGCUGGCGGCGUGCUUAACACAUGCAAGUCGAACGGAAAGGCCCUGCUUGCAGGGUACUCGAGUGGCGAACGGGUGAGUAACACGUGGGUGAUCUGCCCUGCACUUCGGGAUAAGCUUGGGAAACUGGGUCUAAUACCGGAUAGGAACCAUCUUUAGUGUGGUGGUUGGAAAGUUUUUUCGGUGUAGGAUGAGCUCGCGGCCUAUCAGCUUGUUGGUGGGGUAAUGGCCUACCAAGGCGGCGACGGGUAGCCGGCCUGAGAGGGUGUACGGCCACAUUGGGACUGAGAUACGGCCCAGACUCCUACGGGAGGCAGCAGUGGGGAAUAUUCCACAAUGGGCGCAAGCCUGAUGCAGCGACGCCGCGUGGGGGAUGAAGGCCUUCGGGUUGUAAACUCCUUUCGCUAGGGACGAAGCUUUGUUGUGACGGUACCUAGAUAAGAAGCACCGGCUAACUACGUG
rnacentral:rRNA from 1 species